rnacentral:snoRNA from 1 species
AUGCAUCUAUUUGCCAGACCUGAAGCAGAUAUUGUCAGCUGCAAAGGUUUUUCCCAUUAUAGAUGCAAGAAAAAAGUGUCUUCCUGCAACCUGUCUGUCUGAUGUGGUAGCCAAGGUUGAAUAGGAGAACACUGGG